CAUAGCCUUUAGCAAAACAAGUAUUAAAGGUCCUGCCUGCCCAGUGAACACAUUCAACGGCCGCGGUACCCUAACCGUGCAAAGGUAGCGUAAUCACUUGUCCCCCAAAUAGGGACCAGUAUGAACGGCUAAAUGAGGGCUAAACUGUCUCCUUUGGCCACCCAAUGAAACUGAUCUUCUAGUCCAAAAGCUAGAGUACACACACAAGACGAGAAGACCCUGUGGAGCUUCAAACAUACCCACUACCACCAAACACAGUAGUAAAGUUUUAAGUUGGGGCGACUAUGGAGAAAAACAAAACCUCCACGACCAGGACUAACCUCCAAUCAAGGCAUACAAGCCAACCAAACAGAUCCAGUACCACUGACCAACGAACCAAGUUACCCCAGGGAUAACAGCGCCAUCCCCUUAAAGAGUCCAUAUCGCCAAGGGGGUUUACGACCUCGAUGUUGGAUCAGGACCCCCAGGCGGCGCAGCCACUGCCAACGGUUCGUUUGUUCAACGAUUAAUGUCCUACGUGAUCUGAGU
rnacentral:rRNA from 1 species